rnacentral:rRNA from 1 species
UUCGUCCUACGGGGCGCAGCAGUAGGGAAUCUUCCACAAUGGGCGAAAGCCUGAUGGAGCAACGCCGCGUGGGUGAAGAAGGUCUUCGGAUCGUAACACCCUGUUGUUAGAGAGGAAAGUGCGUGAGAGUAACUGUUCACGUUUCGACGGUAUCUAACCAGACAGCCACGGCUAACUACGUGCCAGCAGCCGCGGUAAUACGUAGGUGGCAAGCGUUAUCCGGAUUUAUUGGGCGUAAAGGGAACGCAGGCGGUCUUUUAAGUCUGAUGUGAAAGCCUUCGGCUUAACCGGAGUAGUGCAUUGGG